rnacentral:tRNA from 2 species
UGGGUGUGUAACUCAGGUGGAUAGAGUAGCGACCUUCUAAGUCGUCAGUCGGGGGUUCAAAUCCCUCCACACCCGU